UGGGGAAUAUUGGACAAUGGGCGCAAGCCUGAUCCAGCCAUGCCGCGUGAGUGAUGAAGGCCCUAGGGUUGUAAAGCUCUUUCACCGGUGAAGAUAAUGACGGUAACCGGAGAAGAAGCCCCGGCUAACUUCGUGCCAGCAGCCGCGGUAAUACGAAGGGGGCUAGCGUUGUUCGGAUUUACUGGGCGUAAAGCGCACGUAGGCGGACUUUUAAGUCAGGGGUGAAAUCCCGGGGCUCAACCCCGGAACUGCCUUUGAUACUGGAAGUCUUGAGUAUGGUAGAGGUGAGUGGAGUUCCGAGUGUAGAGGUGAAAUUCGUAGAUAUUCGGAGGAACACCAGUGGCGAAGGCGGCUCACUGGACCAUUACUGACGCUGAGGUGCGAAAGCGUGGGGAGCAAACAGG
rnacentral:rRNA from 1 species